GUCAUCAACUGCUCUGCCAGCUUCAGUAUUUAAGCCCUGGCUCAUCCCUCCACUCUCUGCUAGAUCGUUCAGUCUGCUGUGUGGUACAAAAGUCACAGCAACGUUCAGCCCCUUCCUUGUUGCCUCUUUCAUGUUUGGAUCAUCAUACCCACUUCAGUCCAGCUCUGCCACCAGGUCACUACUGGCCUUCUGCUUUCUAUUUGGAUCAUUACCUCAUCGCCUGUCGAGCUCCACCAAAAACCCCAAUCACCAACUGGAUCGAAUGGCCCUGGAACACUCAUCGAUUCAGCUCCCCCCCAAAACAUUUUUAAAAACUCCUGUUAUGGUUAAAACUGGACUUGGGUGUGGGAAAACUAUCAAACCUGCGAGCAAACUUAUUGCAAAUAUAAGGCUUUCAUUUUUUUGAUCAUUGUAAGUUGAAAUGGGAUGAAGUGGCAUGCCAAUGUGUUCUCAUUCGCAACAAGUCACAUACGGAUGGAAGGGUCAGGGCCUUUUUGGCAUUUUUUAACAUACUGGAUACCCCAUUAGUGUCAAUUUUCAACAUGUAGGGUACGAUGAGUGAAGCGCUACAUUUAUUAAAGGCAACAGUGUCACUAGGAGGUGGUUGGAUGCAAGCGUACAAAGCGCACAAAUGUCACACCAGAGACGGGGGUUCGCAUCCAGAUUCCUGUCUUUGGUUAGGUUUAGGCAACAAAAGUGCUUUGUUUAAGGUUGGGAAAGAUUGUGGUUUUGGUUAAGUCUAAAUAAACAUGUUGUGUCUGA